rnacentral:piRNA from 5 species
UUUCGUACGUAGCAGAGCAGCUCC